GGGGCAGGUCGCACUGCCCCGUGUCCAUCUGCUCCCGCCGGGCCGCGGCGUCGGGGAGGAACCCCCCGAAGACGAAGCAGAUCAGCGUCAGAACAUGCAUCUAUCCUGCUCACACCAUUAGGUGUUCAGCUUCCACUUGGACCAAAAAGCCUCAGGAGGAAGUAUCUUCCUCCAACAAGACCUGAGGUACUUCUUGCUGACAGGAGCACAUCUGAAAUCCCUGGGGAUCUAGAGCUUUCUCCAGAAGUUGUUGCAGCAGGCAACUUCUCAACUCCUGCAGCUGCAAGUCGAGCCUCCUCCUGAGUGUCCAUCUCUAUUAAAGAGCAUUCCAGAAAGAACCAAUCUACUUGAAGAAAAUCCCCUCUCAAUCCUAACAUCCUCCCUUCUAAGGACUAGGUAUGAAUUUUGCAGACCAACCAGCAUUAAUAGCUUGUAUUACAUUUUGCAAAGUCUCGCCUUGUGCUGUGGCCUCUGCAAUGACAGACCACAUCCUGCCUGAGACUAGGCGUGUAAAUAUGCUGAAGAAAACCUUUCCCAGUGUCAGACUCUGGUAUGCAUUCUUCCUCUGUAUAAAGUUUAGUCUGUGUUUGUGUAUGUAUAUAAUAUUACAUAUGCACACACCUAGGAAGGUGUAUGUAUCUGUGUGUGUGUGUGUGUUUAUAUAUAUUACUAUAUUUAUGUAUACAUAUACAUAUAUAUACACAUACAUACACACACACAUAUACACGAGAUGAUAGGAUAGGUGAAUGAUAUUAACGCUCCAUUAUAUGCUUUACAUCUCUUUUUCCCAUCCUUUCAAAGAUAUCCUGGAUUUGAGCCCGUGGAGGCAGAAGCCUGCCCUUCUCUGCUGUUCUUCUACUACAGGUAUGGGGGCUCCUGUCAUUUCAAGGUCUUCUUCUUAAUCAAACCAUUACUGUUCCAUCCCUAAAUAUAAAUCAGAGAGAUGGCAAGAAGAAGGUCUGAAAGCAACUCAUCCACCUAAACAGAAGUAGUCUCCCUGCUGCAUAGCAAAGGCUGUAGCUGUUUCUUCUGCACAAUAGAUUAUCUUCUUCAGGCCUAAGAGGCAGUUUUCUUCCUGUUUGACAUAAUUCAGUGUGCAGUUCCACAAGCUCCAUUUAAUUUCAUGGACAGUUCAAACCUCUUUCAUGUUCAGAGAAUGAUUGGGAGUUCAGCUGCUCAAGAGUCCUCUCAAUGUUCCACUCUUUAUUUUAAUUCACUAGGGUUUUUUUUUCCAGGUUUCUAGAUUGCCAUUGGUUUCUACAACCUUGGUAUCAUAUUAUGUUCAUUGGCAUCUAUUAAUGAGAAGCCUGAGAGGGGUUUUGUAAGUCGAAUGAGUCUUUAUUGUAAAACAACUAAAACAGCCCUUCAAGACAGCACUUCUGAAAGAGGAGCCUGCAUGACUGUCUUUCUCCUAACCUGGAGCAGCAUAUUCCAAGCAGAUGCAAUGACUUGGUGCAUGUUUGAAGUAACUGAUUUACUAACAGCAAUACAGCGCCUUUGAACAAACAUAACAGACAUGCAGAAUGUGCCGAUAUUUUGGUAAUUUGGUUUAAAAUGUGCUGCUUUUUUUUCUUUUGGACCUGGUUGAAUACGGCUCACAUUUGUUGCAUCUGUAUGGGCCUGCUCUUUAUUAAACUUGUGGUCCUUUUUUUCCAGUAACCACUUCAGUGCUGUGAAUCAACACAACCAGUUCAGAAAAACACCAUCUGUCGAUUGGAUAAACAAAGGUCUAGUUAGCUGGAAGUUUAAUAGAUCACAAAGUCUCGCCAUGUCCAUUUUUAUGUUAAUAAAUUCCACCAUGGAAUAUUUUCUGAUGUCACAUGGCAAAACUGCCCUAAAUAAAUAGCAGCUGAAGUAUUUUCCAUUAUUUAUUUUAGUGCUUAGUGAGCUUAACAAUAGAAGUUGGCCAGGAUCUCAACUUCUCUAAUCUCUAAGUGCCAUAUGGGUCUGUAUGUUGGGCUCCAUGAAUCCUAGACAAGUAGGUUCUGGUGGGUUCUUAUCUGGCCUAACCAGCAUUGGGUCGGAUGGACCUCCACUAUCCCAGUCAGAUGUCCAUCUCCCUUAGGAGUUGGGGCUGGGGCUAGCGCUCAGUAAUAUCUACCUACCUAAUUUCAGCCAUAGUGUACCCCAAUUAUUUUUGCCCUUAUUGUUCCUGGAUAGUGUCAUGGUGCGAGAUGUCUCAUCUGUCAUCUGUGCUUGGAAAGACCUCCUCUGAAAGUCAGCUAUUUCUGCCAAUCUAAACUUUUUUAUUAAAAAAAUCCCAUGGUGGAGAUUUAAUGCCUCAGCAAGUAUAGCUUAGGUGGUUCCUUCAUGUCCCGUCUCCCGAGCAAAAGAUUGGGCCUACAGAUGGAUUGCAGGAUAGUUCUUCCAGCAAUAGCCAUUUCACCUUUCUGAGCUAUGGAUUUUGGCAGAGAUGGUCUAGGUGAUCUGCCUAUGAAAGUAAUGAGACUCUUCAGCUGCCAAGUCUCACUAGGAAGCUCCCACUUUUCAUGCCCCUACUGUUUCGAGUCAAGCACCAGCAACACUUCUAAGAGGAUAUUCAAGUCCAAGAUCCUGAGUGGUUGAGAUUAUGGUCAAGACUGUACCAGUUUACCAGGUAGUGUAGAAGGGAGUGAUACUGCCUGGCUGCCUUUUGUGACACCACCAGAUGUAUUUUUGGUUCUGGUCAUCUGCAUAAUGUUUUUUAGUAAUAGUCCAGACAAAGCGUACUCUUGAUUCUCUGAACCUGUAUGCAAAUGCUUGAUGAGGCCUUCCAAGUCAUCCUAAGUCCAUUAAAAAGGAUGAAUAACAUAUUUUCCUAAAAAAGUAUAAAAUUACAGAGAUCACUAGACGAAGGAGGAGGACUCUGCUUUAGGCAGAACUGCUAGCAGUACUGAGAGUCCCUGAAGCUGGAUGUUUAUGCCAGCACUACAGCAAGGCUUUUUCAUGGUCGUCACAGGGAUGGUAUUCUCUCUCCAUGUCAACAGAGCCCGUGGCAGUGUUUUCUGAUAAAUGGGCUGCUGCAGCCCAGUAUGCACUACCCUCUCCAUGUACAGUCUUCUAGAACACCUGCUGCAGGAGAAAUUUGGCUGCCUCCCUUUAUGAGGGAAACUGGUGGUGGUUGUUAGAAGGGAAUCCUACCCCUCUCUAUGCUGUAUCCCUCGUUCUCUCUCACAGGAGGAAAAUGACAGGGAUACCUGUAGUUUUCUUGUAACACUGCCAGUUCUCUGUCCAAAUAACUAAACAUGAUUUUGCUCCAUUUCUAGGAAGACUCAGGUGAGGAGCAGGGUAUAUGUAUGUUGUACAUCCACAUACAGUAGUGUGGCAAAAUAAUCUUGUUUCUUUCUGUUCCCCCGAAACAAUUUCUGCUGGUUUGAGUAGAACAUGUAAAUGUACUUAAUUAUGAGAAAGAAGCUUUACCAUUUCAGAUCAUAGUAAUCUUUCCCUUUACUUCCUCCUGUGUAACUAAAAAAUGGCUUAUAUAUUUGAGAUCCAGCUGUGCAUGCUUGGAUCUUUGAUACUCAGGUUGUACUUUGAAGCUACUGGUGCUCUGAAAUCACACUGUGUAUAUCCAUUACAAGCUGUAGGGAAGAAUUAAUCAAAUAAAACCUGAUGCUAUGCUAUGCUAAAGCACAUCACAACUUACCUCUUUCUUCUUACAUUUCUUCUCAUUAUUACAGAGUGUAAAGCUCUUCUUUUGUUUCUUUGAAGAAAAUUUACAAUAGCCCCAGUAAUCCUUUGGCACUUGAGAAAAAGUAAACCUUUCACACUAUUUCAAGGCCUGAGAAUGCCUACAAGGUCUCCUCUGCUGAGUUCUGUCCUUAUGGGUGUCAAAUGUUAGCUGUGAACUGGAAGACUGUGGCUGGGUCAUCUUUUAUCUGUGUGGUAGGAUCCCAAUAUCAGUUUAUCACAGAGGUUACUAUUUUCGGGGGUUUUUUUCUGUGCACAUUUUUUUCAAAACAUUUUCAGCAGGCAAAUAGAAAAUACUGUCUGUUUUGAAAGUGUGUUUAUAGUGAACCACUGGUCCCAGUUUAUGUCUAAUCACUUCUAGUCUGCCUGCAUAAGGAAUUAGGCUCAUCUCUCCUGUUGUUAGCACUGGUCAUGUGGAGACCACCAAGAAAGCAGGGAAAAAAGAACAGAAUAAGAAAAAUGUCGUAUUUGGCAAGAAGAAUGAGUUCUCCACACUUUUCAGAAACUAGUUUUGCUUUCAUAUGGAAGUAGAUCUUUCAGGCAAUGUAAAAUCUGACCUGUGCUCUCUGAGCGCAUCUUUUUGUUGAAUCUCUAUCUGCAGAUGCCUAGCCCUCUGAUGACAGCUGUUCUAUAAACAUAAACCAAAAGGAUGGAUUAUGUAUUAUUUGUGUCAAGAGCAAAGAAAUAUAGCUACAAUAAACUCAGAAGUUUGUAGGAUGAAGUGAAAAAGAUACUUUCUUUUCGGAAGCAAAAACUUACGACUAUUUGAAUCUCACUGGGAUGAUGUUCAUUGGGAUCAUCAGUCAUACUUUUUGUUGUUGUUGCUAAAUUACACAUAGACACAGAAACUGCCUUUCAUGGAUGAAAAAUGUCUUGCUUAU